rnacentral:rRNA from 1 species
UACGGGGGGAGCAAGCGUUGUUCGGAUGUACUGGGCGGAAAGGGCGCGUAGGCGGCCACCGCAAGUCGACUGUGAAAUCUCCGGGCUUAACCCGGAACGGUCAGCCGAUACUGCGGGGCUAGAGUGCAGAAGGGGCAACUGGAAUUCUCGGUGUAGCGGUGAAAUGCGUAGAUAUCGAGAGGACCACCUGCGGCGAAGGCGGGUUGCUGGGCUGACACUGACGCUGAGGCGCGAAAGCUAGGGGAGCGAACGGG